GGCUCCUUAUCCCAAUUGGUAGAGGACAGCGGCCUAGAACCGUUGUGUUGUCAGUUCGAGUCUGACAGGAGUCA
rnacentral:tRNA from 1 species